GGCGGGCGGGGGGCGGGCGGGCGCGCGGCGUCCCCGAGCCCGGCCGGCAGGGCCGCUUCCGGCCUCGCGGCGUCACGUGACGCGGGCGGGCGGAGGGGGGAGAGGCGGUCGCCCUCAUGAAUAUUCAUGAGCCACCGUGAAUAGUAAUUCGGCCGCCGCCGGGUCGGCGCGGGAUGGGGCUGGUCCGGAGGAGUUUUCCCGAGCGCUGUGCUUGCCAGCGCCUGGGACGGUCCCGGCCCGCCGCGAUGAUCCAGAGUUGUCCCGAAGUUGGGCUGCCAGCGCCUGGGAUGGUCCCAGCCCGCGCUGGCUCGAGCGUUUCCUGGCACGCUGUUAAACGUGUUUGUCCUGCUAAGCCCACAGAAAGGACUUCCCGCCAGCUGGCCGUGUGCCAGAAUGGGCACACCGGACCAUCUCAUUCCCUGUCGGGAACAGGAGGGCAAGGCCGGGCGUGGAGGGCAACAGGGCAACCCUGUUCCCGCAGCCGGGGCUCCGUGUGACCUCGGCCACACGCCGACUGCCCUUGUACUUGUAACCGCCUGGCCCCAGAGGGGGCUGCAGCUCACCCUCCUUCCCAGUCGCUGAGAACUCCAUUUCACAGACUCAGCCCACCCAAGUUCCGUCUGGCAUUCUCCCGCUGCCUCCCGAGCGCUGGUGCUGCCGCGCAGCGGGAGGAGCGGCCCGCGCUCCGUGCCCCGAGCCCCGGGCACGGCGGGAGGAGCGGCCCGCGCUCCGUGCCCCGAGCCCCGGGCACGGCCGGGCUGCUCCUGCGGGACACGGCACGGAGCCGGCACGGAGCCGCCCCGGCACACCGCUAAGGCCGGCUGGCUGGUCAGCCCCACGCCGCACUGCUGCAGAGUUGUGAACACGAGGUGAGGCGAGACACCGCACCAAAGCACCACGUUGCCGCUCUGCUCUGCUUAGACGCCUCAGGAUGAGAUAGGCUUCGUUCCGCUACUCGUAGCAGGGUUAACUUUGGCGCUGGGCCCACCUCCAGAAACCUCUUUUUUUUUUAAUUGUUGCGUGAGUUUUCUGCCAGCUUGGCAUGCUGGAACAGCUUUUCCGAGCCAGCAUGAGUAAGAGGGUGGGACCAGGCAGAGCACAAGCACAGCAGGCAGCGGUUAGAUCGGCUCGGGCGAUCGCGAAACCGCAGCAUCCGGAGCAGCGGGCAGAGGGAAACCUGCCUGUCCCCGGAGCGUGCUGGGCUGUUGGUCAUCGCAGGCGGCACCAAACUUCCUCCUGGAGCAGUCGGGAUUAGCCCUGCGUUCUUCAGCUGGAGUCACAUGGAGGCAAUUGUUGAUUUAUUUAAAUAAAAGGAGUUGGCAGCCUAA